UAGGGAAUCUUCGGCAAUGGACGGAAGUCUGACCGAGCAACGCCGCGUGAGUGAAGAAGGUUUUCGGAUCGUAAAGCUCUGUUGUUAGAGAAGAACGUUGGUAGGAGUGGAAAAUCUACCAAGUGACGGUAACUAACCAGAAAGGGACGGCUAACUACGUGCCAGCAGCCGCGGUAAUACGUAGGUCCCGAGCGUUGUCCGGAUUUAUUGGGCGUAAAGCGAGCGCAGGCGGUUCUUUAAGUCUGAAGUUAAAGGCAGUGGCUUAACCAUUGUACGCUUUGGAAACUGGAGGACUUGAGUGCAGAAGGGGAGAGUGGAAUUCCAUGUGUAGCAGUGAAAUGCGUAGAUAUAUGGAGGAACACCGGUGGCGAAAGCGGCUCUCUGGUAUGUAACUGACGCUGAGGCUCGAAAGCGUGGGGAGCAAACAGG
rnacentral:rRNA from 1 species